rnacentral:rRNA from 1 species
UACGUAGGGUCCGAGCGUUGUCCGGAAUUAUUGGGCGUAAAGGGCUCGUAGGCGGUUUGUCACGUCGGGAGUGAAAACACGGGGCUUAACCCCGUGCCUGCUUCCGAUACGGGCAGACUAGAGGUAUGCAGGGGAGAACGGAAUUCCUGGUGUAGCGGUGAAAUGCGCAGAUAUCAGGAGGAGCACCGGUGGCGAAGGCGGUUCUCUGGGCAUUACCUGACGCUGAGGAGCGAAAGUGUGGGGAGCGAGCAGG